rnacentral:rRNA from 1 species
UUCCGGUUGAUCCCGCCGGAAGCUACUGCUAUCGGGAUUCGAUUAAGCCAUGCGAGUCGAGAGGGUUCGGCCCUCGGCUGACUGCUCAGUAACACGUGGAUAACUUGCCCUCAGGUAGGGGAUAAUCUCGGGAAACUGAGGAUAAUACCCUAUAGACAUCCUUUGCUGGAACGCUUGGAUGUUCAAAGGUAACGCCUGAGGAUAGGUCUGCGGCCUAUCAGGUUGUAGUGGGUGUAAUGGACCCACUAGCCCGCGACGGGUACGGGCCUUGAAAGAGGUAGCCCGGAGAUGGACUCUGAGACACGAGUCCAGGCCCUACGGGGCGCAGCAGGCGCAAAAACUUCGCAAUGCGGGAAAGCCGUGA